rnacentral:rRNA from 1 species
CCUGAACGCUGGCGGCGUGGCUAAGACAUGCAAGUCGAACGGGUGUAGCAAUACACCAGUGGCGGACGGGUGAGUAAUGUAUCGCUAACGUGCCCUGGAAUCUGAGAUAGCCAAUCGAAAGGUUGGGUAAUACCAGAUGAAAUAUCCUUAUCGCAUGAUGAGGAUCUCAAAGGAGCAAUCCGGUCUGGGAGCGGGCGAUAUCGUAUCAGCAGUUGGUGAGGUAACGGCUCACCAAGGCGACGACGCGUAGCCGGGCUGAGAAGUCGGCCGGCCACAUUGGGACUGAGACACUGCCCAGACUCCGUACGGGGGNG